rnacentral:lncRNA from 1 species
GAAAACACAGCUCUAGGUUGCUGGGAAAGGAAGAACUGAAGCUAAGAAGCUCUAGGAUUGCUUUCUUCAUUAAGAAGAGAUUGAAGUGUUCGGAGAUUAUAGUCUCAGCUUGUUGUUUCAACUAAGUUUCUAUUAUGGUUCUAGCUUUGUUCCUCCCAUCAAUCCAAGCGUCUGAACUUCCUUGGUAUUGAACAUUUCUAUUUGAUCUUUGUGAUAUGAAAGCCUUGUUUAAUACCCCCAAUUCAAAUAUAUAUGUUUGCCUUCAUUUGAUUGUUAAAGGAACUCUAGUGAACAUUGAAUAGCAUCUGAACUUGUGGUUGAUUCAUACCAUCUAAAUUACAAUGUUUGUGCCUUCUUUUGAAAAAGUCAGGACCUCUGGCUCGUUGGUAAUAAGACCCAUGCGACCACCAUGGGAAUAUGGCCUCAUUGGAACCCCUAAUGAGGAUUACAAAAGCUGUCUCAUUGAUAUUGUUUCUCUAAUUCUGAAUAUGAAUUGUAUCUCAGCCCUUGAAUUGUUCAGUUUUGUUUUGUGUACUCUUUUCAGUCUCAUCUUCAAAUAUUGUAUAGUUGUGAUCUUCAUACUCAUUAGUGGCCAUAUAUAGUUACUUACUGAGCUUUGUAGCCCACCCUUUCCUCUUCCAUUUCAAAUUAGCUUGGAAUAGAAGAUUGGUUCAUUUGUGAUGUAUUGCUGCACUAAUGAAGAUGUGUUUGAUUUGGGAGACUUUAGAUUAUAACCUUGUAAAUCCUGGUAGUUCAAAUUG